rnacentral:rRNA from 1 species
AGUGGGUGUAACGUACCUACUAGCCGACGACGGGUACGGGUUGUGAGAGCAAGAGCCCGGAGAUGGAUUCUGAGACAUGAAUCCAGGCCCUACGGGGCGCAGCAGGCGCGAAAACUUUACAAUGCGGGAAACCGCGAUAAGGGGACACUGAGUGCCAGCAUACAAUGUUGGCUGUCCGCAUGUAUAAAUAGCAUGUGUUAGCAAGGGCCGGGCAAGACCGGUGCCAGCCGCCGCGGUAACACCGGCGGCCCGAGUGGUGGCCACUAUUAUUGGGUCUAAAGGGUCCGUAGCCGGUUUGAUCAGUCUUCCGGGAAAUCUGACAGCUCAACUGUUAGGCUUCCGGGGGAUACUGUCAGGCUUGGGACCGGGAGAGGUAAGAGGUACUACAGGGGUAGGAGUGAAAUCUUGUAAUCCUUGUGGGACCACCAGUGGCGAAGGCGUCUUACCAGAACGGGUCCGACGGUGAGGGACGAAAGCUGGGGGCACGAACCGGAUUAGAU